GACAGAGGGGGCAAGCGUUGCUCGGAAUUACUGGGCGUAAAGGGCGCGUAGGCGGGAUGGCAAGUCGGUCGUGAAAUCCCUCGGCUCAACCGAGGAACGUCGAUCGAUACUGCUGUUCUUGAGGAUUGCAGAGGAGACUGGAAUUCCCGGUGUAGCGGUGAGAUGUGUAGAGAUCGGGAGGAACACCGGUGGCGAAGGCGGGUCUCUGGGCAAUUCCUGACGCUGAGGCGCGAAAGCGUGGGGAGCAAACGGG
rnacentral:rRNA from 1 species